ACGCUGGCGGCGUGCCUAACACAUGCAAGUCGUACGAGAAAGCUGGCUUCGGCCGAUAAGUAAAGUGGCGCACGGGUGAGUAACGCGUGGAUAAUCUACCCUUUAGUUGGGAAUAACUCAUCGAAAGGUGGGCUAAUACCCGAUAAUACUGCUUUUAUUCCGAUUAAGCAGUCAAAGAUAGCCUCUGUUUACAAGCCCUCACUAAAGGAUGAGUCCGCGUACCAUUAGCUAGUUGGUAGGGUAAUUGCCUACCAAGGCGACGAUGGUUAGCUGGUCUGAGAGGAUGAUCAGCCACACUGGAACUGAGACACGGUCCAGACUCCUACGGGAGGCAGCAGUGAGGAAUCUUGCGCAAUGGGGGAAACCCUGACGCAGCAACGCCGCGUGAGUGAGGAAGGUUUUCGGAUCGUAAAGCUCUGUCGGGUGAGAAGAAAUGUAUAGAAGUUAACAGCCUUUAUACUUGACGGUAUCACCAGAGGAAGCACCGGCCAACUCCGUGCCAGCA
rnacentral:rRNA from 1 species